UAAGUACUUCCUCCGUCCGGAAAUACUUGUCAUAAAAAUGGAUGUAUCUGUAUCUAUUUUAGUUCUAGAUACAUUAAUUUUUAUUCAUUUAUGCGAUAAAUAAUUUCAGACGCAGGGAGUACAUC
rfam:Hordeum vulgare subsp. vulgare, WGS project CAJW01000000 data, contig: morex_contig_304883